GCCACAUGGGAGCGAAUGGAGGCGGCCAUGGCCCGUGACGUCAGUACUCUGCGCCCGGAAGUGGCAACGCCUCCACUGUACUGCUGCUUAGAGGCUGAAGACAUUAGUUUGUGUAUCUUUCGCUUGAUGACAAGAAGAGGCAAGUGAAAUUGGAAGGAACAGGAAACAUCCAAUGAAUCAGACAUAAAAAGGAGAAUCAGGAUGUAAAAAAAAGAUUUUAUUCUACAAAGAAUGUCAACAUGUUUCAGUCAAGAAAUAUUUGUGUAAUCCAGGGGCUCUUAAAUGGAAAAAAACAAUAUGUUUUCAAUAGUAAUUAUAUAAGUACAGUAUACUUGAAGGAAAAUAAAACAGUCAUGUGCCUUUA